ACGGGGGGGACGAGCGUUGUUCGGAUUUACUGGGCGUAAAGGGCGUGUAGGCGGACUUUCAAGUCGGAAGUGAAAACCGGAGGCUUAACCUCAGGCUUGCUUACGAUACUGUUGGUCUUGAGUACAGAAGAGGAAAGCGGAAUUCCAGGUGUAGCGGUGAAAUGCGUAGAUAUCUGGAAGAACACCAGUAGCGAAGGCGGCUUUCUGGUCUGAUACUGACGCUAAAGCGCGAAGGCUAGGGGAGCAAACAGGAUUAGAUACCCUGGUAGUCCUAGCGGUAAACUAUGGGUACUAGGUGUCGGGGGUAUCGACCCCCUCGGUGCCGAAGUUAACACAUUAAGUACCCCGCCUGGGGAGUACGACCGCAAGGUUG
rnacentral:rRNA from 1 species